CGUUGAAACACUGGUUCUCGUAGCAUCACCAAAGUUAAGCAACGUCAAGCCUAGUCAGUACCGAGACGGGUGGCCGCAUGGGAAUACUAGGUGUU